GGUUUCUCUGUGUAGCCCUGGCUGUCCUGGAACUCACUCUGUAGACCAGGCUGGCCUUGAACCUCAGAGAUCCACCUGCUUCUGCCUACCGAGUGCUAGGACUAAAGGCAAGCACCACCA
rnacentral:miRNA from 14 species